rnacentral:rRNA from 1 species
UACGUAGGGGGCAAGCGUUGUCCGGAUUUAUUGGGCGUAAAGAGCGUGUAGGCGGCCAUUCAGGUCAGCUGUGAAAACUCGAGGCUCAACCUCGAGACGUCGGUUGAAACCGUUUGGCUAGAGUCCGGAAGAGGAGAGUGGAAUUCCCGGUGUAGCGGUGAAAUGCGCAGAUAUCGGGAAGAACACCCGUGGCGAAGGCGGCUCUCUGGGACGGUACUGACGCUGAGGAGCGAAAGCGUGGGUAGCAAACAGG